rnacentral:rRNA from 1 species
UACGUAGGGCGCAAGCGUUAUCCGGAAUUAUUGGGCGUAAAGAGCUCGUAGGCGGUUUGUCGCGUCUGCUGUGAAAACCCGAGGCUCAACCUCGGGCCUGCAGUGGGUACGGGGCAGACUAGAGUGCGGUAGGGGGAGAUUGGAAUUCCUGGUGUAGCGGUGGAAUGCGCAGAUAUCAGGAGGAACACCGAGUGGCGAAGGCAGAUCUCUGGGCCGUAACUGACGCUGAGGAGCGAAAGCAUGGGGAGCGAACAGG